CGACAAUUGUUCCUUUUGUUAAGCGUUGAAUGCUUUUCGAAAUUUUAAGGUUGUCGUAGAUGAAAUUAGAGUUAUUUCACGCUGAACGUUAUUGAGUUUUAGACGUUUGGGUUUUGCUAAUUCUUACACUU